rnacentral:rRNA from 1 species
UACGGAGGAUGCGAGCGUUAUCCGGAUUUAUUGGGCGUAAAGCGUGCGUAGGCGGUUUGUUAAGUCCAGAAUUAAAGCCCGAGGCUUAACCUCGGUUCGUUCUGGAAACUGGCAGACUAGAGUAUGGUAGAGGCAAAUGGAAUUCCUAGUGUAGCGGUGAAAUGCGUAGAUAUUAGGAGGAACACCAGUGGCGAAGGCGAUUUGCUGGGCCAUCACUGACGCUGAGGUACGAAAGCGUGGGGAGCAAAUAG